AAGGAACCAGAAAGUCCUCAUUUUGAGAGCACUGAUGCCAUCACAGAUGAACGCGUGCGCAUUAAAACUAAAUCUGGAACUCGUCCACAAAUAAUAGGCCUACAAUUGAUCCAAGACUAAGGCCUAAAGUUAAGUGACUUCUUUGGAACCAUGAACAUCCUUUCCAAGUCUAUCUUUGUCAUCCUGUGCAACAUGGCAUUGUAUUUGGCAGUUCGGAAGACAGUUCUGGACGCUCUAGCCAGGGUCCAAGUACCAGUCUCAGAGGGUGAUCUAUGGGAGGCAUACGACCUGUACCACCGGGAUAGCCGCAGGAGCAGAGCCCAGUUACAGACCGCCACCUACCCAGGAUGUUAGCAUGUGUUGCUGGAUUGAUGUUUGGAAAGGGGUGGGGUGGAGAAUUGGGAAAGGUGGAAAAAUAAAGGGAGGGAGGCUUGGCGUCACGUGAUAUAAAUCUUAUUCAACUAUCUAUCGUGUUUCUCAAUGUUGGAACACUUGAAUUUAUGGAUUGGAACAAAACGCACCAGGUUUGCCUUUGUUGUCCGAGUUAGGACAAUUAAACAUUUGUAAAACAUAUGGACUGAUUGUGUGUAUUAUUGAUGUAUAAUAAACUGAUUGACUAUUAUUGAUGUAUAAUAAACAGAUUGACUAUUGAUGUAUAACGAAUGCAAGGCCAUGGUUUUAGAAUUUCUUGACCGUUCCAUCAGACGUCAAAUAUUAUACUGUACAGUGCAUUGUACAAAAUGGUGGGGGCAUAGUCUGAAUAUUUGUAGCUCUAAUGACAAUAAAGUUUUCAUCCUUGGAGCAUUAUUAUUCCAGUUAACAGAUAGAUUUUAUAAAUAAUAAGAAAUUAAGGUUAGGAGUUGGACUGGUUGUCAGAGGCAGUUUGAUAUGCAUGCCAUUGGAAGCAUUUUAUAAGGUAACGAUGGGCUUAAUAACAUUGCCACUUCCAGUGUUAACAACCGUGAGGAAUAAUUGUAAGAUAAUAAAGAAAUAUAGUAUUUGAACAUGUAAUUAAUAAAAAUAAUUAUUAUCAUGAGAUAACUGUGGUAAUUAUAUAGAAAAGCAAAUGAUCAAGAAUUUAUACUCUUGCCUGUAGAACUGAAGGCUUUUGAUCUGGUAAGAUCUCACAGCAGGUCAAACUCAUUUUUAUUAGCAAAUUAAAAAACAUUUUGAGUUUGAGAGAAUAAAUUAUUAAAACAAAA
rnacentral:sRNA from 1 species